UACGGGGGAGCAAGCGUUGUUCGGAUUUACUGGGCGUAAAGGGCGCGUAGGCGGCCAGCACAAGUCAGUUGUGAAAUCUCCGAGCUUAACUCGGAAAGGUCAACUGAUACUGUGCGGCUAGAGUGCAGAAGGGGCAACUGGAAUUCUUGGUGUAGCGGUGAAAUGCGUAGAUAUCAAGAGGAACACCUGCGGCGAAGGCGGGUUGCUGGGCUGACACUGACGCUGAGGAGCGAAAGCCAUGGGUAGCGAACAGG
rnacentral:rRNA from 1 species